UGGGGAAUUGUUCGCAAUGGGCGCAAGCCUGACGACGCAACGCCGCGUGGAGGACGAAGAUCUUCGGGUCGUAAACUCCUGUCGAGCGGGAAGAACACCUUCCUGGUGAACAACCGGGAGGGCUGACGGUACCGCUAAAGGAAGCCCCGGCUAACUCCGUGCCAGCAGCCGCGGUAAUACGGGGGGGGCAAGCGUUGUUCGGAAUUACUGGGCGUAAAGGGCUCGUAGGCGGCCAACUAAGUCCGACGUGAAAUCCCCAGGCUCAACCUGGGAACUGCGUCGGAUACUGGAUGGCUUGAAUUCGGGAGAGGGAUGCAGAAUUCCAGGUGUAGCGGUGAAAUGCGUAGAUAUCUGGAGGAAUACCGGUGGCGAAGGCGGCAUCCUGGACCGACAUUGACGCUGAGGAGCGAAAGCUAGGGGAGCAAACGGGAUUAGAUACCCCGGUAGUCCUAGCCCUAAACGAUGAAUGCUUGGUGUGACGGGUAUCGAUCCCUGUCGUGCCGAAGCUAACGCAUUAAG
rnacentral:rRNA from 1 species